rnacentral:rRNA from 1 species
AUUGAACGCUGGCGGCAGGCCUAACACAUGCAAGUCGAGCGGAUGAAGAGAGCUUGCUCUCUGAUUUAGCGGCGGACGGGUGAGUAAUGCCUAGGAAUCUGCCUGGUAGUGGGGGAUAACGUUCCGAAAGGAACGCUAAUACCGCGUACGUCCUACGGGAGAAAGCAGGGGACCUUCGGGCCUUGCGCUAUCAGAUGAGCCUAGGUCGGAUUAGCUAGUUGGUGAGGUAAUGGCUCACCAAGGCGACGAUCCGUAACUGGUCUGAGAGGAUGAUCAGGCACACUGGAACUGAGACACGGUCCAGAAUCCUACGGGAGGCAGCGGUGGGGAAUAUUGGACAAUGGGCGAAAGCCUGAUCCAGCCAUGCCGCGUGUGUGAAGAAGGUCUUCGGAUUGUAAAGCACUUUAAGUUGGGAGGAAGGGCGUUUGGCUAAUAUCCAGGCGUUUUGACGUUACCAACAGAAUAAGCACCGGCUAACUUCGUGCCAGCCGCCGCGGUAACAC